rnacentral:rRNA from 1 species
GAGUAACACGUAGGCAACCUGCCCGUAAGGCUGGGAUAACUCACGGAAACGUGAGCUAAUACCGGAUAGGAGAUUCCCUUGCAUGAGGGGAUCUGGAAAGGCGGAGCAAUCUGUCACUUACGGAUGGGCCUGCGGCGCAUUAGCUGGUUGGUGAGGUAACGGCUCACCAAGGCGACGAUGCGUAGCCGACCUGAGAGGGUGAUCGGCCACACUGGGACUGAGACACGGCCCAGACUCCUACGGGAGGCAGCAGUAGGGAAUCUUCGGCAAUGGACGAAAGUCUGACCGAGCAACGCCGCGUGAGUGAGGAAGGUUUUCGGAUCGUAAAGCUCUGUUGCCAGGGACGAACGCCAAGGAGAGUAACUGCUCUUUGGGUGACGGUACCUGAGAAGAAAGCCCCGGCUAACUACGUGCCAGCAGCCGCGGUAAUACGUAGGGGGCAAGCGUUGUCCGGAAUUAUUGGGCGUAAAGCGCGCGCAGGCGGCUCUUUAAGUCAGGUGUUUAAGCCCGAGGCUCAACCUCGGUACGCACCUGAAACUGGGGAGCUUGAGUGCAGGAGAGGAGAGCGGAAUUCCACGUGUAGCGGUGAAAUGCGUAGAU